GCAUCUCUGAGGAUACGGCUGUUACAUUUCCAACUGGUUUGCAAAGGGCCAUUUUCAGUUUUUUCAAGCAGUAUCUAUACAAGUGUGUGUCUCUCCUCAAUGAGUAUACACUGAAAUAACAACACAUUUGCAAGGGAACCGAUAAUUGACAGUUAAUUUACAAUCUCAAGGGAUCAGAGCUAAGAUAUGGAGAGAACAGAGAAUAAAGAAUCCACCAUCUCUCCACAAAAACAGACAGUGAAAAAUAGAUCCAAGUCCACAGAUGAGGUACAGCAAGCCAAAAAGGCCUUUCAUACACCACAGAAAUCUCUCCCUGCUAAACCAGAGACUGAGAAACUACAGGAGACCUCAGAACUGAGUGCCUCGUCGGAGGAGUUCAAAUGAUUGCUGGAUUCUUUUUGCGGUUUUGAGAUUUAGAUCAACUGGAAUUAUGAGUAACAAAUGAUUGUUCAGUGUGUCUGUGCAUACCAUUGUGACUUAGUUUUACUCAGUUUAGUUGGCAUAAUCUCAAGUGAGUUGAAGGAAAAUCAACAAUAAUUAUGUGUAGUUUAUUUGAUUUUUAGGAGUCUGAUAAUGUUUGUGAAAUUAGUGCAGAACUGGAUAUCACAGUGAAUUGAAUCUAUAGAUGUUGUGAGCCAAUGUCUAAUUUAGUGUGACAUGUGUUGCUUUGUAGUUUGACAUUCGUGAUUGGUGUUGAGCCAAAACUCUUCUCCAGGCACCUUUGUGUCCCUAGUGCAACACACUCUAAUGGAGAAAUCAUACAGAUUUGUACGAGUUGGCUAAAUCAUAUGAAAUGGUAAGAGUUGGGUCAUAUGAAGAAUUCGUAUGACUUUUGCAAACAGCCAAUCAGGUAACUCGUCUCCUCCUAAAACUUGACAAUAACAUUCUCUUUAUGUUUUGAAUCAACCUUAAAGGCUCUACUCUAUGUUUAGAUGUGGGGUUUGGGCAUAAAAUUAAUUAGCAUGUACACAUCGUCUGACGUGGAACUUUCGCUUAUUCCCACAUCACACAUCCAGGUAUUUGCACAUCUUGAAUUUGUAUGAAAUCAUACAAAACAAAUUGUACGGUUUCAUACGAUUUAGACUUGUAGCCAACUCGUAUGACUUGAGGGCCAUUUUCUUUUUUCCUCUGUAAUAAUUUUUCUACUGUUUUCAAAAUUAGAGAUGGAACAUAACAUGAAUUAAUAGAUAGAUACAAAUAAACAAACAGUUAAAUAGUGAUGUUGGUGAUUAAUGUCUGAAUCAUUCACAUUUCCACAAUUAAAUCACAGUUAGCAUGUCUAUUCUAAGCACCAAAAUGCUACUGGCUUUGUAUUUCCAAAUGUAUCCAAUGCUAACAAAGGGAGUGUUCCUUCUUGACUGGUAACUGACAGAUGCUGACAAGAGGGGACUAUUUUACCUUAUUUUUCACUCAAAAUGACUGCCGCUUGGAUCAUAAGAACUUUUGCUCCAUUGUCAUUUCACCACAGUCUGUUCACUGCAUGGGAACUGAUUAAUUUUAAAGGCCAGAUUCCCACAGAUUCAGCCCCAGAGCAAAAUGCAGUGCACCAAGGCUAAUUUGAGUUUCAGAAAAUAAUGUGCUCUCAGUGACACUUUAUUAGGAAAUGAAUCAACUCUGUCAACCUAUCAUGUCCUUGUUCUUGAGUGCACAUGUUUGCCAACUGGCCAAGGUGCCAUCAGGCACAAAUAUGUGAAAGGCUAUUUUUAUUGAAUUCACACUGUUGAAAGCUAUUUUAAAAAAAAACAUCUGGAGAGGAUAAAUGAGAAUUAUAAUGAUGUAUUAUGUACAUAAAGGUUUUGCAAAAGCUUUAGAGCAUUAAACACAUUAAAGCAUUAUAAGAACUUUUCUGUCAGAUCAGUGAGAGAGUUUGUAAAGAAAAGAAAUUGUGUUUGUGCAUAAAUGCUCUACAUGUAUUUAUUUCUUAAUUUGAUGCCUCUAUGAAUUGCACAAGCAAGCUGAUAGGGAAGAAAUCAUCAGGAUGACAAGCAUCGAGGUCCAUGUGAGACCAUCUAAGUGCUGGUGUCUGUCAUUAAAAUCCAAAUCUGAUAUUCUUGAAAAAAGAUAUGUUUGCCUAAAUUGUCUGGAAUAAUUGUCAGCUUAAGUCUUCAAGAGCAAAAGACGUGUAUGGGAUGGACACACUCAUGCUCAAACAAAUAGGUCAGUCAAUUUUGGGACCACUAACGCACAUCAUUAAUGUGUCACUAGAUCAAGGGAAAUUUCCUGAGUCAUGGAAACUUGCUAGUGUCAUUCCUAUAUUUAAAGGUGGUAACUCCCUUCUUUCAUCUAAUUACCGACCUAUUAGUAUUUUGCCAACAGUAUCUAAAGUCUUUGAAAAACUGGUUGCUAGACAAAUCACCAAUCAUCUUAAUUGCAGUUCUUUUCCUUUGCACUCAAUGCAGUUUGGUUUUAGGGCUAAUCAUUCCACAGAGACAGCAAUAUGUUAUUUUCUAGAAAAGGUUAAAUCAAAUAUGGACA